GUUCUCGGAGGAGUUCCGGGGCACAGACGGCCUCCGCGCUUCCGGUAUCCAGAGCUUCCAGAGUUAAGUGCUGAUUCUCGGCCCUGGAGUGGCCGCGCCGCUGCCGAGAUCAUGGUGUUCUACUUCACCAGCAGCAGCGUUAACUCAGCUGCCUACACUAUUUACAUGGGAAAAGAUAAAUAUGAAAAUGAAGAUCUGAUAAAGUAUGGCUGGCCUGAGGAUAUUUGGUUUCAUGUGGACAAACUCUCUUCGGCUCAUGUAUACCUUCGAUUACAUAAGGGGGAGAAAAUAGAAGACAUUCCCAAGGAAGUACUGAUGGACUGUGCCCAUCUUGUGAAGGCCAAUAGCAUUCAAGGCUGCAAGAUGAACAACGUUAAUGUGGUGUACACACCGUGGUCUAACCUGAAGAAAACGGCUGACAUGGAUGUGGGACAGAUAGGCUUCCACAGGCAGAAGGAUGUGAAAAUUGUGACAGUGGAGAAGAAAGUGAAUGAGAUCCUGAACCGCUUAGAAAAGACCAAAAUGGAGCGCUUCCCAGACCUGGAGGCAGAGAAGGAGUGCAGAGACCGCGAAGAGAGGAACGAGAAGAAAGCCCAGAUUCAGGAAAUGAAAAGGAGGGAAAAGGAAGAGAUGAAAAAGAAGAGGGAGAUGGACGAACUUAGACAUAAAUUUUGAUCGUGUAUCGCUGGUACAUCUCUGUUAAAAGGAAAAUGAGCUAUUCGUCACUAAUGAAAGUUGAGAACAUGUCUUCAAAUCAGGAUGGCAAUGAUUCAGAUGAAUUCAUGUGAAUGGAGAAAAGGACCUUUUAAAGAUUUAGGGACAGUUGCAGAAGUUGUGAUUUCAUCUAUGUUCUGAAUUAUAAAAAAAAAUCCAACCAAAAUUGUACCUUCACAAUAUUCUACAAAUGUUAUCAACUUUGGAAUUUUAAAAAAAUUGUUCCCUUUUUCGCCAUCAGAAAAGGAUCAGGUAAAUAUAUGUAUAUACACACACAUAUAAUAUAGUUGGACUUGAAGACAGCAUAUAAUUUUGGGAAGGUGAAAAUCUUUUUGCCAGAACAUAUCUUGGUACCUUGUGAAAGUUGGCUGCCCUUAUUCUUGGAAUAGACUUUAGAACAAACCGACUCUGAAAAGUAUUUCUGUUCCUGUGAUCUGUCCCUGAAAACAUAUGUCUUGAAAAGCUUUUCAUAUUCUUAAAAUAGCUUCUUUUCUGUUAAGAUGAAUGUAUUGGUGAACAUUAUAAGCGAAUGUUCCCCUCACCUCCAGUUUCCUGAUUAGAAGAAUAAAAACGUGUGGGUUUUGAAGGUAAUAGUGAUAUUUUCAAGGCUGCUGGCUUCAAUAGUCAUGUUCCAUUGGGCCAUCUGAGUCUGUUUGUGUAGUUGCCCUCAGCUUGUCCUCGCUUCCACAGUCUACAUCUUUCCUUUUCCAUUGAGGGCCUCCACCUAGGUACAAUCAUACUGAAAAGAACAGCAGUGUUAGUCAAGGUUGGGCCUCAUGGCAUUUUUUACCUGAGCACCGAGUAACCCAUAUCGUGUGUAUAACAACUUCCGGGCUCUGGAGUCAUCUCUCAGCACUGAGGGGAGAAACAAAGGGACACUCUGAAUCAUUUUGAAGACAGAGGUUACCAGAUUUUUGUCUUGGGAUAUAUCAUAAAGCACAAGUCUCCUUUGCAAUUAAGAUUUUAGAAAGAAUUAAGCAUUUCACUAGCCAGCCCAGUAAUUGGUUUAUUUACCUUGAAAUAAUAUUUAUUUUGAGUUGUAACCCCAGAGUUCAGAUUUCUCCACUGUAGCCUCAGUAACUUAAUAUGUAACAGUCCUACUCAUCUGAACCACCUGCUCUCCAGUGUGAUUCUGAAUAGAAGAUAUAUUUUUAUUAUAGCCUGUAAGCCAAACCCUGUGGAAAGAGACAAAACAAAACAAUGGCAGGGAAAGAACAAAGCCUGCAGGUCGGGAGGAGGCUCACGGGUUCACAUUUUAACCACACCCAGAGCUCUGCACGGAGCGUUCUUAACUGUAUUCUAACCCAGCAGAAGUGACCUCCUCCAGUAGAUACUCUUCCUGUAGCACUUUGGAACGGUGGGUACAACCACAAGACUUCAGUGUCUCUGCUUAUCCCAAGUUGGUGUAUGGGGUUGAACUGGAAAAUUUCCUGAGACAUAACUCGGCCAAAUUUUGAGAGGGGUUAUGGGAGACCACUCCAGAAAUUAGUGAUUUCCUGUGUAUAUGUCUAAUGAUAUUCAGCCUGGAGUUUUGUGGUUUGAGAAUGGAAUAAUAAAGAAUGAUUUUUUAUCUGGGAGGACAAUGA